GACGAACGCUGGCGGCGUGCAUAAUACAUGCAAGUAGAACGCUGAAGGAGGAGCUUGCUUCUCCGGAUGAGUUGCGAACGGGUGAGUAACGCGUAGGUAACCUGCCUGGUAGCGGGGGAUAACUAUUGGAAACGAUAGCUAAUACCGCAUAACAGUAGAUAUCGCAUGAUAGCUGCUUGAAAGGUGCAAUUGCAUCACUACCAGAUGGACCUGCGUUGUAUUAGCUAGUUGGUGAGGUAACGGCUCACCAAGGCAACGAUACAUAGCCGACCUGAGAGGGUGAUCGGCCACACUGGGACUGAGACACGGCCCAGACUCCUACGGGAGGCAGCAGUAGGGAAUCUUCGGCAAUGGACGGAAGUCUGACCGAGCAACGCCGCGUGAGUGAAGAAGGUUUUCGGAUCGUAAAGCUCUGUUGUAAGAGAAGAACGAGUGUGAGAGUGGAAAGUUCACACUGUGACGGUAUCUUACCAGAAAGGGACGGCUAACUACGUGCCAGCAGCCGCGGUAAUACGUAGGUCCCGAGCGUUGUCCGGAUUUAUUGGGCGUAAAGCGAGCGCAGGCGGUUAGAUAAGUCUGAAGUUAAAGGCUGUGGCUUAACCAUAGUACGCUUUGGAAACUGUUUAACUUGAGUGCAAGAGGGGAGAGUGGAAUUCCAUGUGUAGCGGUGAAAUGCGUAGAUAUAUGGAGGAACACCGGUGGCGAAAGCGGCUCUCUGGCUUGUAACUGACGCUGAGGCUCGAAAGCGUGGGGAGCAAACAGG
rnacentral:rRNA from 1 species